rnacentral:misc_RNA from 1 species
UCUCCGUUGGUGAACCAGCGGAGGGAUCAUUACAGAGUUAUCUAACUCCCAAACCAUUGUUAUCCGACACUGUUGCCUCGGGGGCGACCCGGCCUUCGGGCGUCGGGGCCCCCGGUGGACCUAUCAACUCUGCAUCUUUGCGUCUGAGUAAAUAUUGAAUCAAUCAAAACUUUCAACAACGGAUCUCUUGGUUCUGGCAUCGAUGAAGAACGCAGC